UGUUUCUGCAGCACAUCAAACUAAAACUGGAACAAUGCAGAAAUGAAUAGCAUGCCCCCUGCACAAGGAUGACACGCAAAUAUGUGAAGCAUUCCAUAUUUGG